rnacentral:rRNA from 1 species
UGGGGAAUAUUGCACAAUGGGCGAAAGCCUGAUGCAGCAACGCCGCGUGAGUGAUGAAGGUCUUCGGAUUGUAAAGCUCUGUCUUUUGGGACGAUAAUGACGGUACCAAAGGAGGAAGCCACGGCUAACUACGUGCCAGCAGUCGCGGUAAUACGUAGGUGGCGAGCGUUGUCCGGAUUUACUGGGCGUAAAGGGUGCGUAGGCGGAUGUUUAAGUGAGAUGUGAAAUACCCGGGCUUAACUUGGGUGCUGCAUUUCAAACUGGAUAUCUAGAGUGCAGGAGAGGAGAAUGGAAUUCCUAGUGUAGCGGUGAAAUGCGUAGAGAUUAGGAAGAACACCAGUGGCGAAGGCGAUUCUCUGGACUGUAACUGACGCUGAGGCACGAAAGCGUGGGUAGCAAACAGGAUUAGAUACCCUGGUAGUCCACGCCGUAAACGAUGAGUACUAGGUGUAGGAGGUAUCGACCCCUUCUGUGCCGCAGUAAACACAUUAAGUACUCCGCCUGGGAAGUACGAUCGCAAGAUU